rnacentral:misc_RNA from 1 species
AAGUCGUAACAAGGUUUCCGUAGGUGAACCUGCGGAAGGAUCAUUAAAGAAAUAAACUUGGUGGACUGUUGCUGGCUUCUCUGGGAGCACUGUGCACGUCUGUCAUUUUGACUUUUCCACCUGUGCACCUUUUGUAGAUCUCUGGUACGUUCGAAAGUUCACUCUUUCGGUAUUGAGGGCUUUGGAAAGUAAUUUCCCUUGCCUGGCCAGUGGGUCUACGUUAUCAUACACAUACCCCAAACGAAUGUAUUAGAACGUUUUGAAAAGGCCUUAAAACAGCCUAUAACAAUCAAUACAACUUUCAGCAACGGAUCUCUUGGCUCUC